AUUGAACGCUGGCGGCAUGCUUUACACAUGCAAGUCGAACGGCAGCACGGGGGCAACCCUGGUGGCGAGUGGCGAACGGGUGAGUAAUAUAUCGGAACGUACCCGGAAAUGGGGGAUAACGUAGCGAAAGUUACGCUAAUACCGCAUAUGCCCUAAGGGGGAAAGCGGGGGAUUCGCAAGAACCUCGCGUUUUCGGAGCGGCCGAUAUCGGAUUAGCUAGUAGGUGAGGUAAAGGCUCACCUAGGCGACGAUCCGUAGCUGGUCUGAGAGGACGACCAGCCACACUGGAACUGAGACACGGUCCAGACUCCUACGGGAGGCAGCAGUGGGGAAUUUUGGACAAUGGGGGCAACCCUGAUCCAGCCAUGCCGCGUGAGUGAAGAAGGCC
rnacentral:rRNA from 1 species